rnacentral:rRNA from 1 species
GAGUUUGAUCAUGGCUCAGAUUGAACGCUAGCGGCAGGCUUAACACAUGCAAGUCGAGGGGUAACAGGGUUUAGUUUACUAGACUGCUGACGACCGGCGCACGGGUGAGUAACGCGUAUACAAUUUACCUUAUACAGGAGGAUAGCCUUUAGAAAUGAAGAUUAAUACUCCAUGGUAUUAUGAAGUGGCAUCGCUUUAUAAUUAAAGAUUUAUUGGUAUAAGAUGAGUAUGCGUCCUAUUAGCUAGAUGGUAAGGUAAUGGCUUACCAUGGCGACGAUAGGUAGGGGUCCUGAGAGGGAGAUCCCCCACACUGGUACUGAGACACGGACCAGACUCCUACGGGAGGCAGCAGUGAGGAAUAUUGGGCAAUGGAGGCAACUCUGAACCAGCCAUGCCGCGUGCAGGAAGACGGUCCUAUGGAUUGUAAACUGCUUUUAUAGAGGAAGAAACCCGGUUACGUGUAAUCGGCUGACGGUACUCUACGAAUAAGCACCGGCUAACUCCGUGCCAGCAGCCGCGGUAAUACGGAGGGUGCAAGCGUUAUCCGGAAUCAUUGGGUUUAAAGGGUCCGUAGGCGGGCGAUUAAGUCAGAGGUGAAAUCCCACAGCUCAACUGUGGAACUGCCUUUGAUACUGGUUGUCUUGAGUUAUAGUGAAGUAGAUAGAAUGUGUAGUGUAGCGGUGAAAUGCAUAGAUAUUACACAGAAUACCGAUUGCGAAGGCAGUCUACUAACUAUUAACUGACGCUAAUGGACGAAAGCGUGGGGAGCGAACAGGAUUAGAUACCCUGGUAGUCCACGCCGUAAACGAUGGAUACUAGUUGUUAGUUGUACAUUGGUAUGAUUAGUGAUUAAGCGAAAGCAAUAAGUAUCCCACCUGAGGAGUACGGUCGCAAGAUUGAAACUCAAAGGAAUUGACGGGGG